rnacentral:rRNA from 1 species
UACGUAGGGUGCGAGCGUUGUCCGGAAUUACUGGGCGUAAAGAGCUCGUAGGUGGUUUGUCGCGUUGUUCGUGAAAACCGGGGGCUUAACCCUCGGCGUGCGGGCGAUACGGGCAGACUGGAGUAACUGCAGGGGAGACUGGAAUUCCUGGUGUAGCGGUGGAAUGCGCAGAUAUCAGGAGGAACACCGGUGGCGAAGGCGGGUCUCUGGGCAGUAACUGACGCUGAGGAGCGAAAGCGUGGGGAGCGAACAGG